rnacentral:tRNA from 1 species
GACAGUGAGGUCCAGUGGAUAGGGCACUGGAUCGAGAUUCCAGAAACCCAGGUUCCAUUCCCGAUUCUGUCA